rnacentral:rRNA from 1 species
UACGGGGGGGGCAAGCGUUGUUCGGAAUUACUGGGCGUAAAGGGCUCGUAGGUGGCCAACUAAGUCAGACGUGAAAUCCCCAGGCUUAACCUGGGAACUGCGUCUGAUACUGGAUGGCUUGAAUUCGGGAGAGGGAUGCAGAAUUCCAGGUGUAGCGGUGAAAUGCGUAGAUAUCGAGAGGAACACCUGCGGCGAAGGCGGGUUGCUGGGCUGACACUGACGCUGAUGCGCGAAAGCCAGGGGAGCGAACGGG